ACUGGGGCGUAAGCGCACGCAGGCGGUCUGUCAAGUCGGAUGUGAAAUCCCCGGGCUCAACCUGGGAACUGCAUUCGAAACUGGCAGGCUAGAGUCUUGUAGAGGGGGGUAGAAUUCCAGGUGUAGCGGUGAAAUGCGUAGAGAUCUGGAGGAAUACCGGUGGCGAAGGCGGCCCCCUGGACAAAGACUGACGCUCAGGUGCGAAAGCGUGGGGAGCAAACAGGAUUAGAUACCCUGGUAGUCCACGCCGUAAACGAUGUCGACUUGGAGGUUGUGCCCUUGAGGCGUGGCUUCCGGAGCUAACGCGUUAAGUCGACCGCCUGGGGAGUACGGCCGCAAGGUUAAAACUCAAAUGAAUUGACGGGGGCCCGCACAAGCGGUGGAGCAUGUGGUUUAAUUCGAUGCAACGCGAAGAACCUUACCUACUCUUGACAUCCAGAGAACUUUCCAGAGAUGGAUUGGUGCCUUCGGGAACUCUGAGACAGGUGCUGCAUGGCUGUCGUCAGCUCGUGUUGUGAAAUGUUGGGUUAAGUCCCGCAACGAGCGCAACCCUUAUCCUUUGUUGCCAGCGGUUAGGCCGGGAACUCAAAGGAGACUGCCAGUGAUAAACUGGAGGAAGGUGGGGAUGACG
rnacentral:rRNA from 1 species